rnacentral:rRNA from 1 species
CCUACGGGGGGCUGCAGUGAGGAAUAUUGGUCAAUGGGCGGGAGCCUGAACCAGCCAAGUCGCGUGAGGGAAGAAGGUACUGAGUAUUGUAAACCUCUUUUGCCAGGGGACAAAGGCGGCCACGGGUGGCCGUAAGAGGGUACCGGUAGAAAAAGCAUCGGCUAACUCCGUGCCAGCAGCCGCGGUAAUACGUAGGUGGCAAGCGUUAUCCGGAUUUACUGGGUGUAAAGGGGGCGAAGACGGCGAUGCAAGCCAGGAGUGAAAGCCCGGGGCCCAACCCCGGGACUGCUCUUGGAACUGCGUGGCUGGAGUGCAGGAGGGGCAGGUGGAAUUCCUGGGGUAGCGGUGAAAUGCGUAGAUAUCAGGAGGAACACCAGUGGCGAAGGCGGCCUGCUGGACUGCAACUGACGUUGAGGCUCGAAAGCGUGGGGAGCAAACAGGAUUAGAUACCCCAGUAGUC